rnacentral:rRNA from 1 species
UACAGGGGGGGCAAGCGUUGUUCGGAAUUACUGGGCGUAAAGGGCCAGUAGGCGGCCAACUAAGUCCGACGUGAAAUCCCCAGCUUAACCUGGGAACUGCGUCGGAUACUGGAUGGCUUGAAUUCGGGAGAGGGAUGCAGAAUUCCAGGUGUAGCGGUGAAAUGCGCAGAUAUCAGGAGGAACACCGGUGGCGAAGGCGGCUUGCUGGGCCAGUUCUGACGCUGAGGAGCGAAAGCGUGGGGGAGCGAACAGG